CCUACGGGAGGCAGCAGUGGGGAAUAUUGCGCAAUGGGCGAAAGCCUGACGCAGCGACGCCGCGUGAGGGAUGAAGGCCUUCGGGUCGUAAACCUCUUUCAGCAGGGAAGAAGCGAAAGUGACGGUACCUGCAGAAGAAGCACCGGCUAACUACGUGCCAGCAGCCGCGGUAAUACGUAGGGUGCAAGCGUUGUCCGGAAUUAUUGGGCGUAAAGAGCUCGUAGGCGGUCUGUCGCGUCUGCUGUGAAAACUCAGGGCUUAACCCUGAGCUUGCAGUGGGUACGGGCAGACUAGAGUGCGGUAGGGGAGACUGGAAUUCCUGGUGUAGCGGUGAAAUGCGCAGAUAUCAGGAGGAACACCGGUGGCGAAGGCGGGUCUCUGGGCCGUAACUGACGCUGAGGAGCGAAAGCAUGGGGAGCGAACAGGAUUAGAUACCCUGGUAGUCCAUGCCGUAAACGUUGGGCGCUAGGUGUGGGGCUCGAUUCCACGAGUUCCGUGCCGCAGCUACGCAUAGCGCCCGCCGNGGGAGGUACGGCCGCGAGGAACGUAAACGUUAAAGUUAGUUAAGUUAGUUACGGCGUGAGACGUUCGCCGACGGACGACGACGAGGGAGGAGG
rnacentral:rRNA from 1 species